UAAGGAAUAUUACUCAAUGGGAGAAAUCCUGAAGCAGCAACGCCGCGUGGAGGAUGAAGGGCUUUCAGCUUGUAAACUCCUGUAAAGAAGGAAAAAAUUCCCAUUAGAUGGGAGAUGAUGGUACUUCUAGAGUAAGCCCCGGCUAACUACGUGCCAGCAGCCGCGGUAAUACAGAGGUGGCGAGCGUUGUUCGGAUUUACUGGGCGUAAAGGGCGCGUAGGCGGCGGAGUGUGUCGGGUGUGGAAUCCCAGGGCCCAACCCUGGAAGUGCGCCCGAAACUGCUCCGCUUGAGUGCGGGAUGGGAGAUCGGAAUGCAUGGUGUAGCGGUGAAAUGCGUUGAUAUCAUGCAGAACACCGGUGGCGAAGGCGGAUCUCUGGAACGCAACUGACGCUGAGGCGCGAAAGUCGGGGGAGCAAACA
rnacentral:rRNA from 1 species